GAUGAACGCUGGCGGCGUGCCUAAUACAUGCAAGUCGAGCGAAUGGAUUAAGAGCUUGCUCUUAUGAAGUUAGCGGCGGACGGGUGAGUAACACGUGGGUAACCUGCCCAUAAGACUGGGAUAACUCCGGGAAACCGGGGCUAAUACCGGAUAACAUUUUGAACCGCAUGGUUCGAAAUUGAAAGGCGGCUUCGGCUGUCACUUAUGGAUGGACCCGCGUCGCAUUAGCUAGUUGGUGAGGUAACGGCUCACCAAGGCAACGAUGCGUAGCCGACCGGAGAGGAUGAUCGGCCACCCUGGGACUGAGACACGGCCAAGACUCCUACGGGAGGCAGAAGUAGGGAAUCUUCCGCAAUGGACGAAAGUCUGACGGAGCAACGCCGCGUGAGUGAUGAAGGCUUUCGGGUCGUAAAACUCUGUUGUUAGGGAAGAACAAGUGCUAGUUGAAUAAGCUGGCACCUUGACGGUACCAACCAGAAAGCCACGGCUAACUACGUGCCAGCCGCCGCCGUAA
rnacentral:rRNA from 1 species